rnacentral:tRNA from 1 species
GAGGGUAUAGCUCAGUGGUAGAGCACGUGCCUAGCAUGUACAAGGUCCUGAGCUCAAUCCCCAGUACUGCUA